rnacentral:misc_RNA from 1 species
GAAAUGCGAUAAGUAAUGUGAAUUGCAGAAUUCAGUGAAUCAUCGAAUCUUUGAACGCACAUUGCGCCCGCCAGUAUUCUGGCGGGCAUGCCUGUUCGAGCGUCAUUUCAACCCUCAAGCCCUGCUUGGUGUUGGGGCCCUACGCACCGCCGUAGGCCCUGAAAGGUAGUGGCGGGCUCGCUAAAAUCCUGAGCGCAGUAGCACAUCUCGCUUGUUGGUAUUUAGUGGGUACCGGCCGUUAAACCCCCAAAUUUUUAUAAGGUUGACCUCGGAUCAGGUAGGAAUACCCGCUGAACUUAA